GGGGCUGUCAUUGGUUUCGACAGGUUUAUGUUUGAUUUAAGCUGCAGUGGAGUGGUUACCUAAUAACCAAAAAAUCCUUAAUCGGAAAUAGAAUGAGUUUCGCUGCUUAAUUAGCCAGUAUUGUGCUUGCAGCUGUCAUUAAUCGUUUGUCUAUAGACUUUUAAAUGGCAUAAGAAAUAUAGAAUAAGGCAAAACACGUGCUUGGGUGUUAGCUCGAAAAUUUAACAAGCCAACUCUAAUAAGUUCUGUACUCAUAAGUUUUAUUAGUUUUAAUUAUGAUGAGUUAAACUGUAGACGCUUAAAUGUGGGACUAUUCUUGGACAGGGGUUCGAUCCCCCUCAGCUCCACCA
rnacentral:tmRNA from 1 species